CCCUUAGAUGUUCUGGGCAGCACGCGCGCUACAAUGGUCUUCGCAAACGGAUGCAUUCUCGAAGGAGAAUGCCAAUCUUGGAAUCUAUGCCUUGGUCGGGACAGUUGCUUGCAAUUUUUCGACUCGAACCAGGAAUUCCUUGUAAUCGUGAUUCAUCACAUCACGAUGAAUACGUCACUGCCCUUUGUACACACCGCCCGUCGCUCCUACCGAUCGAAGAGUUAGGUGAAUUGUUUUGAUCGAUAAGAUUUGACUAUGGUCAACUCUCGUUGUGAAAUUCUGUGAAUCUGACUGUUUAGAGGAAGGAAAAGUCGUAACA
rnacentral:rRNA from 1 species